rnacentral:rRNA from 1 species
UUUCUAGCUUGCUAGAAGAUGACGAGCGGCGGACGGGUGAGUAAUGCUUGGGAAUAUGCCUUAUGGUGGGGGACAACAGUUGGAAACGACUGCUAAUACCGCAUAAUGUCUACGGACCAAAGGGGGGGAUCUUCGGACCUCUCGCCAUUUGAUUAGCCCAAGUGAGAUUAGCUAGUUGGUGAGGUAAUCGCUCACCAAGGCGACGAUCUCUAGCUGGUUUGAGAGGAUGAUCAGCCACACUGGGACUGAGACACGGCCCAGACUCCUACGGGAGGCAGCAGUGGGGAAUAUUGCACAAUGGGCGCAAGCCUGAUGCAGCCAUGCCGCGUGUGUGAAGAAGGCCUUCGGGUUGUAAAGCACUUUCAGUAAGGAGGAAAGGGAUGUAGUUAAUAACUGCAUUCUGUGACGUUACUUACAGAAGAAGCACCGGCUAACUUCGUGCCAGCAGCCGCGGUAAUACGAGGGGUGCAAGCGUUAAUCGGAAUUACUGGGCGUAAAGCGUUCGUAGGCGGUUGAUUAAGCAAGAUGUGAAAGCCCAGGGCUCAACCUUGGAACUGCAUUUUGAACUGGUCAACUAGAGUACUGUAGAGGGUGGUGGAAUUUCCA